CCGACAUUUGGACACAACAACAAAAUGUUGCUGAACCCAAUUAUCAGAAUACUCGACCAGUACUCAAGGACGAAAAGACUUCCAGUUAAACGACGAGUGGACUCCCAGGCAAUCGACGUUCGAACUCCCGGGAACUCCUCAUCCAGCGACAAAAGGACUCCCAAUCCAGUGACGCACGGAUUUGCUUAUUUGUUGCAGCUGAAGGAUCGUUAAGAACAUAGAAGAAAAGUUUAAUUACAAUUAUGUAAAUAUUGUACUCUGAAAUGGAACGAACAUGGGUAACCAUGUUUGUUCCAGUCAGACUUCUUUCCCUUCUUGUAUUCUACACCGAAGUGUACUAUACACGUGAGUGGCGAUAUGCACGUAAUACUACAGUUCACCGCAAAGCCAAAGCAGAAUGUCACAGACCUACAAAAGCCAAAAUGAAAGAAGUUUUCUGCAACCAAAAUCCACUUGUACCCACCGUUGCAGGUCCACAGCAGCACAGGCAGUCAGACACACUGUACACAAACAGUUUGUAGUUCAAAUUUUAAUGUAUUAAACAACAUAAAUACAAAAUUCUUCGUUCA